rnacentral:tRNA from 1 species
GCGAGAGUGGCGAAAUUGGCAGACGCGCUAGACUUAGGAUCUAGUGUCUGGAAAGAUGUGGGGGUUCGAGUCCCCCCUCUCGCA